UUUGCUUGCAAAAACCUUGCAAUGGUCAAGAUAAAAUGUCCCAAGGAGGAUGAAAGAGUUCAAGUGUUAGCACAGUUCUUUGUGGCUAAUGGCAUAGCCAUGGAGAAGAUAUCUUUUGAUCACCGUCCGACUCGCCAAACUCGCAAAUCCUUGGCCUAAGACGGGGACAGGAUGCCUUGUAGGAACUGCAGUUUGGGCGAUGAUUACUCUUAUAUUCUCUCACGCGGCACAGACCAUGGCUGCAGAUCUUGAAAGUGCUUAGGGUGCUUCGUUUGUGUAGCUCUGGAGUCUAAACUAUGUGUGGCUAUAUGAAACCCUUAAAGUCAAGAUUGUUUUUCUCUAGUGUGAUGAGUUAACAUUAUUAUAUAUAACCAAGUUUGGUUUCUU